AUUACUAAGCGGAGGAAAAGAAACUAACUAGGAUUCCCUCAGUAGCUGCGAGCGAACAGGGAUGAGCCCAGCACCGAAUCCCGCGGCCCACUCGGGACGCCGGGAAAUGUGGUGUUAGGGAGGAUUCAUCAUCCCGAGGUCAUGCGGCGCGUCCAAGUCCUUCUUGAACGGGGCCACAGCCCAUAGAGGGUGCCAGGCCCGUAGCGACCGCUGCUGAUCGCGGGAGAAUCUCUCCUCAGAGUCGGGUUGCUUGAGAGUGCAGCCCUAAGUGGGUGGUAAACUCCAUCUAAGGCUAAAUAUGACCACGAGACCGAUAGCGAACAAGUACCGUGAGGGAAAGUUGAAAAGCACUUUGAAGAGAGAGUUCAAGAGUACGUGAAACCGUUCAGGGGUAAACCUGAGAAACCCGAAAGGUCGAACUGGAAAUUCAUUCGCGUUUCGUUGCGAGCGGUGGACGGUCGUGUGACGUGUGGCGUUCGCGCCGUGCGCUCCUUCUGUCCUCCGAUCUCGCGUCGAACGCGUGCAUUUUUCCACAGUAGGACGUCGCGAUCCGUUGGGCGUCGGUCUAAGGCCCGCGGUGGAGCCCGUGCGGACGGUUCGCCGUUCCGGACGGACCCGCGGUGUUUCCCGGCCGACUCGCUCGACGGUAUUCAGAUGGCGCGGGGCCGCGACUUUGUUUCGCGUCCGGCCCGCGACAAGCGCGUUCGGUGAGCCGGAGAUCGGACCUGGUGCCGUUCCUGGCCCCGAACGACUGUUGGUCGCGGUGUUCUCGGACAGUCUCCGUAAAUGAUCGCCGAUCUGCGACGCUAUAGCUUUGGGUACUUUCAGGACCCGUCUUGAAACACGGACCAAGGAGUCUAGCAUGUGCGCGAGUCAUUGGGACAUUACAAAACCUAAAGGCGCAAUGAAAGUGAAGGUUCGCCUUGCGCGAACCGAGGGAGGAUGGGUGGUCCACUCUAACCGGUGGCCGCCCCGCACUCCCGGGGCGUCUCGUUCUCAUCGCGAGAAGAGGCGCACCAAGAGCGUACACGCUGGGACCCGAAAGAUGGUGAACUAUGCCUGGUCAGGACGAAGUCAGGGGAAACCCUGAUGGAGGUCCGUAGCGAUUCUGACGUGCAAAUCGAUCGUCGGAACUGGGUAUAGGGGCGAAAGACUAAUCGAACCAUCUAGUAGCUGGUUCCCUCCGAAGUUUCCCUCAGGAUAGCUGGCGCUCGUUGCGCACGAGUCUCAUCCGGUAAAGCGAAUGAUUAGAGGCAUUGGGGUCGAAACGACCUCAACCUAUUCUCAAACUUUAAAUGGGUGAGAUCUCCGGCUUGCUUGAACUUAUGAAGCCGCGAGAAACGGAUCAGAGUGCCAAGUGGGCCAUUUUUGGUAAGCAGAACUGGCGCUGUGGGAUGAACCAAACGCCGAGUUAAAGCGCCUAAAUUGACGCUUAUGGGAUACCAUGAAAGGCGUUGGUAACUUAAGACAGCAGGACGGUGGCCAUGGAAGUCGGAAUCCGCCAAGGAGUGUGUAACAACUCACCUGCCGAAGUUACUAGCCCUGAAAAUGGAUGGCGCUGAAGCGUCGUGCUUAUACUCGGCCGUCAGAGGCAUGUGCGGUCGGUCCCGGUGUGCGUUCUCGCAUCCGGGACGGCCAUGAAGCCCUGACGAGUAGGAGGGUCGCGGCGGUGAGCGCAGAAGGGCUGGCCGCGAGGCCGUCUGGAGCCGCCGUCGGUGCAGAUCUUGGUGGUAGUAGCAAAUACUCCAGCGAGGCCCUGGAGGACUGACGUGGAGAAGGGUUUCGUGUGAACAGCCGUUGCACACGAGUCAGUCGAUCCUAAGCCCUAGGCGAAAGCCGAUGUUGAUGUGGUGUAGGUAUUUAUCGAGCGUAAAGCACACACCCGUCGGGCGAAAGGGAAUCCGGUUCCUAUUCCGGAACCCGGCUGCGGAACCGCUUAUAAUUUCGGGCCCUCACUUGUGAGUGUUCGUCGGGGCAACCCAAAAGGACCCGGAGACGCCGUCGGGAGAUCCGGGAAGAGUUUUCUUUUCUGCAUGAGCGUUCGAGUUCCAUGGAAUCCUUUAGCAGGGAGAUAUGGUUUGGAACGCGAAGAGCACCGCAGUUGCAGCGGUGUCCGGAUCUUCCCCUCGGACCUUGAAAAUCCGGGAGAGGGCCACGUGGAGGCGUCGCGCCGGUUCGUACCCAUAUCCGCAGCAGGUCUCCAAGG
rnacentral:rRNA from 1 species